rfam:Bovine leukemia virus (proviral), gag and pol genes.
GGGGGGACUUAGCGCCCCCCAAACCGU